rfam:Candidatus Atribacteria bacterium RBG_19FT_COMBO_35_14 rbg_19ft_combo_scaffold_610, whole genome shotgun sequence.
AUGCAAGGUAGAGGCGCGGAUAAUAAUAAGUAAAGAUGAAGAAUUAAAAUUCAUCUUGAAAGGUAUUUCCGCCGAAGCGAAAAGAUGGCAUAAAAUCUUUUCUGCUGGGCUUAUAGCGAAUAACUAUAAGACUGUCAUCAAAUCUUUUCUCGGAUUUGGAUGGAGCGCUGCCCUAAGA